ACGGGUGAGUAACACGUGGGAACGUACCCUUUUCUACGGAAUAACCCAGGGAAACUUGGACUAAUACCGUAUGUGCCCUUCGGGGGAAAGAUUUAUCGGAAAAGGAUCGGCCCGCGUUGGAUUAGCUAGUUGGUGGGGUAAAGGCCUACCAAGGCGACGAUCCAUAGCUGGUCUGAGAGGAUGAUCAGCCACAUCGGGACUGAGACACGGCCCAAACUCCUACGGGAGGCAGCAGUGGGGAAUAUUGGACAAUGGGCGCAAGCCUGAUCCAGCCAUGCCGCGUGAGUGAUGAAGGCCUUAGGGUUGUAAAGCUCUUUCACCGGAGAAGAUAAUGACGGUAUCCGGAGAAGAAGCCCCGGCUAACUUCGUGCCAGCAGCCGCGGUAAUACGAAGGGGGCUAGCGUUGUUCGGAUUUACUGGGCGUAAAGCGCACGUAGGCGGAUCGAUCAGUCAGGGGUGAAAUCCCAGAGCUCAACUCUGGAACUGCCUUUGAUACUGUCGAUCUGGAGUAUGGAAGAGGUGAGUGGAAUUCCGAGUGUAGAGGUGAAAUUCGUAGA
rnacentral:rRNA from 1 species